rnacentral:rRNA from 1 species
CCCGAGCGUUGUCCGGAUUUAUUGGGCGUAAAGCGAGCGCAGGCGGUUAGAUAAGUCUGAAGUUAAAGGCUGUGGCUUAACCAUAGUACGCUUNGGAAACUGUUUAACUUGAGUGCAGAAGGGGAGAGUGGAAUUCCAUGUGUAGCGGUGAAAUGCGUAGAUAUAUGGAGGAACACCGGUGGCGAAAGCGGCUCUCUGGUCUGUAACUGACGCUGAGGCUCGAAAGCGUGGGGAGCGAACAGGAUUAGAUACCCUGGUAGUCCACGCCGUAAACGAUGAGUGCUAGGUGUUAGGCCCUUUCCGGGGCUUAGUGCCGCAGCUAACGCAUUAAGCACUCCGCCUGGGGAGUACGACCGCAAGGUUGAAACUCAAAGGAAUUGACGGGGGCCCGCACAAGCGGUGGAGCAUGUGGUUUAAUUCGAAGCAACGCGAAGAACCUUACCAGGUCUUGACAUCCCGAUGCCCGCUCUAGAGAUAGAGUUUUACUUCGGUACAUCGGUGACAGGUGGUGCAUGGUUGUCGUCAGCUCGUGUCGUGAGAUGUUGGGUUAAGUCCCGCAACGAGCGCAACCCUUAUUGUUAGUUGCCAUCAUUCAGUUGGGCACUCUAGCGAGACUGCCGGUAAUAAACCGGAGGAAGGUGGGGAUGACGUCAAAUCAUCAUGCCCCUUAUGACCUGGGCUACACACGUGCUACAAUGGCUGGUACAACGAGUCGCAAGUCGGUGACGGCAAGCUAAUCUCUUAAAGCCAGUCUCAGUUCGGAUUGUAGGCUGCAACUCGCCUACAUGAAGUCGGAAUCGCUA